UUAUUUAUUGUACUAUAAUCAUUUCAUUUUCUCCUUGAGGCCUUGACUAUUAUUUGCUCACGGUUACUUCAUCACCACGAGAAUUUCUAUUUGUUGUUUUCAAUUGAUCCCAAUAAAGUAAAUCCUCUAUUUCUCGGGUCUUCAAGCUCUCAUGACAUUUGGGGUCAUAGACUCAAUAAGUGGUACUUAUCAUUUGUGAACCUUGUAGCAUUUUAAAAAAAUGAAUGAGUUGUUGUUCUUUGUUUCCUUAUAAUGCUAUGGCAUGCCAUCAUUUUCUUUCAAAUCCAUUUUCUUCAUGAGUUAUCAGAGUUUCAAAAUGUUGAUUGGAGUUAGAAGAUGCAAAACCACCCUGUGAGAUUUACAAGCCUUAGGAGACCACAUAAGCUGCUUCAUCAUUUUUUGUCAUAUGUUCUAUUUAAUUUAUUAUGUUGUCCAGUCUAAAAUCUUCUAAGCCAUUUUUCUGCAUGUCUAUAUGCUUGUAGUGUGCUCAUUCUGAUUCUUAGUGAUGCAUGUAGGCCUUCCUUCCCUUGUUGCACUGCUGCCUCCUGGUUGUAGGAGUUCAGAUUGUCUUGUUAGGUACCAAGGAGAUCUCAAAGUGGAUGCAAUCAUUGAUUAGGUUGCAACAACCAUACUUGGUUUACCUCAUAUUCUUUACUACUCGACAGAAUCAUUGGUAUUGAAAGAGCUUUAAAAUCUAUUGUGCCAUCAGAAACAUCCUAGUUGAUUUGUUUGAAGGGAUAGGACUGUCUAAUCAGUGUGAGUUUUUGGUCUAUGAAACGUCCAUAGUAAAUGUUGCAGAAUCAACAAAAUAGACCCUCAUGCGCGUGUGCCAUGCAUACCAAGAUAGAUUCUCUAAUAACUGAAAGAAAGUGACAACAUCCACUUUAAACUUUAUUAACUCACUUUUCUAUUUGUUUCAUAGGCUGUUUUGUUUCUCAAAUAGUUUCCAUGCCAUGUUGUUAUAUUCAUAGGUUGUGUUUUUGAAGUGGAUUACCCCAAAGAUAUUGGGGCUGGUCACACAAACAUUAGCGUAUCAUUGGUCAAGAAGGUAAUAUUGCAUUGUUCUUUUUGUACAAGGGUUGUAUUUCUUGAACUUCA